GCGAAUACCGGAGAAUGUUAUCACGGGAGACACACGGCGGGUGCUAACGUCCGUCGUGAAGAGGGAAACAACCCAGACCGCCAGCUAAGGUCCCAAAGUCAUGGUUAAGUGGGAAACGAUGUGGGAAGGCCCAGACAGCCAGGAUGUUGGCUUAGAAGCAGCCAUCAUUUAAAGAAAGCGUAAUAGCUCACUGGUCGAGUCGGCCUGCGCGGAAGAUGUAACGGGGCUAAACCAUGCACCGAAGCUGCGGCAGCGACGCUGAUGCGUUGUUGGGUAGGGGAGCGUUCUGUAAGCCUGCGAAGGUGGCCUGUGAGGGUUGCUGGAGGUAUCAGAAGUGCGAAUGCUGACAUAAGUAACGAUAAAGCGGGUGAAAAGCCCGCUCGCCGGAAGACCAAGGGUUCCUGUCCAACGUUAAUCGGGGCAGGGUGAGUCGACCCCUAAGGCGAGGCCGAAAGGCGUAGUCGAUGGGAAACGGGUUAAUAUUCCCGUACUUGGUGUUACUGCGAAGGGGGGACGGAGAAGGCUAUGUUGGCCGGGCGACGGUUGUCCCGGUUUAAGCGUGUAGGUGUGUGUUCCAGGUAAAUCCGGUU
rnacentral:rRNA from 1 species